rnacentral:rRNA from 1 species
AAAACAUUUUUUUUUGAUUAAAAUUUAAAAUAAGUUCUGCUCAAUGAUUAAAUUAAAUAGCUGCAGUAAUUUAACUGUACAAAGGUAGCAUAAUAAAUUGUUAUUUAAAUGAUAACUUGUAUGAAGGAAUAAAUGAAAUAUAAACUUUAUUUAAAUAAUAAAUUGAAUUUUAUUUUUAAGUAAAAAAGCUUAAAUUUUUUAUUGGGACGAGAAGACCCUAUAGAAUUUUAUAAUUAAAGUAAAUUAAUUUAUUUUAAUUAUUUUUUUGGGGAGAAAAUAAAAAUUAAAUUACUUUUAAUAAUAAUUAAACAUAUAUAAAUGUUAUUUAAAGAUUUUAAAUAAAUUAAAUUAAAGAUUAAAUUACCUUAGGGAUAACAGUGUAAUAUUUUUUUAUAGUUCUUAUAGAAAAAAAUGUUU